CUUCUUCUUCUUCUUCUUCUUUAUUUAAGGUAAUUGUUUUGGUUCAGGAAAUAUGCCUGGAAGUUUAGAGCCUUUGGAUUUAAGUGUUCAGAUACCUUAUCAUUUCAGGUGUCCGAUCUCGCUUGAGCUCAUGCGUGACCCUGUCACCGUUAGUACCGGUCAGACCUACGACCGCUCCAGUAUCGAAUCUUGGGUUGCUACCGGUAACACUACUUGUCCGGUCACUCGGUCUCCUCUCACCGAUUUCACUCUCAUCCCUAACCAUACUCUUCGCCGGUUAAUCCAGGACUGGUGUGUCGCUAACCGUGCUUUUGGUAUUGAACGCAUCCCCACCCCGAAACAGCCGGCGGAGCCCAGUUUGGUUAGGUCUUUGUUGAACCAGGCUGCGUCUGAGUCUAAUCCUUAUCAGUCUCGUCUCUCUGCUCUCCGUCGACUCAGAGGACUCGCUCGUGACUCGGAUAAGAACAGGUCUGUUAUUUCUUCUCAUAACGCACGAGAAAUAUUCGUUAACCUUCUUUUUGAGAACGUUGCGAAUUCUAAUUCGACGGAUUUGAACCACGAGGCUUUGGCACUUCUGGUUAUGUUUCCGCUCACUGAGUCAGAGUGUGUGUGCAUAGCUUCAGACUCGGAGAGAAUGAUCUACUUAGCGAAUCUCUUGUCUAAUUCAUCAAUCGAAGUCCGAGUCAACUCGGCUGCACUCAUUGAAAUCGUGGUUGCCGGAACAAAAUCCUCAGAUCUUCGCGCUCAAAUCAGCAACGUAGACGAAAUCUUCGAAGGAGUAAUUGAAAUGCUAAAGAACCCUAUCUCUUAUCCUCGUGCUCUCAAGAUUGGCAUAAAAGCACUAUUCGCCUUGUGCCUCGCGAAGCAGACCAGGCACAAAGCUAUUUCCGCGG
rnacentral:misc_RNA from 1 species